rnacentral:rRNA from 1 species
UACAGAGGUCCCAAGCGUUGUCCGGAUUUAUUGGGCGUAAAGAGCGUGUAGGCGGCCAGGUAGGUCUGGUGUGAAAACUCGAGGCUUAACCUUGAGAUGUCAUCGGAAACCAUUUGGCUAGAGUCCGGAAGAGGAAAGUGGAAUUCCUGGUGUAGCGGUGAAAUGCGCAGAUAUCAGGAAGAACACCAAUGGCGAAAGCAGCUUUCUGGGACGGUACUGACGCUGAGACGCGAAAGCGUGGGGAGCGAACAGG